rnacentral:rRNA from 1 species
ACAGGUGGUGCAUGGCUGUCGUCAGCUCGUGCCGUGAGGUGUUGGGUUAAGUCCCGCAACGAGCGCAACCCCCGCCGCGUGUUGCCAGCAUUCAGUUGGGCACUCACGCGGGACUGCCGGCGUCAAGCCGGAGGAAGGCGGGGACGACGUCAAGUCAUCAUGCCCCUCAUGCCCUGGGCCGCACACGUGCUACAAUGGCCGGCACAACGGGUUGCCACCCCGCGAGGGGGAGCGGAUCCCUAAAGCCGGCCCCAGUUCGGAUCGCAGGCUGCAACCCGCCUGCGUGAAGCCGGAGUUGCUAGUAAUCGCGGAUCAGCACGCCGCGGUGAAUACGUUCCCGGGCCUUGUACACACCGCCCGUCACACCACCCGAGUCGUCUGCACCCGAAGCCGCCGGCCGAACCCCUCCGGGGGGCGGAGGCGUCGAAGGUGUGGAGGGUGAGGGGGGUGAAGUCGUAACAAGGUAGCCGUACCGGAAGGUGCGGCUGGAUCACCUCCUUUCUAGGGAGA